UGCGCAGGCGGCUUCGUAAGUGGCGGGUGAAAUCUCCUGGCUCAACUGGGAGGGUGGCCGCCAAACUAUGGAGCUUGAGGCUCGGAGGGGGGCGUGGAAUUCCGGGUGGAGCGGUGAAAUGCGUAGAGAUCCGGAGGAACACCGACGGCGAAGGCAGCGCCCUGGACGAGCACUGACGCUCAGGCACGAAAGCUGGGGGAGCGAACA
rnacentral:rRNA from 1 species